rnacentral:ncRNA from 2 species
GUGGUAGCUUAGUGAAAAAGUGCCCGCGGUCACGGCCUCGGGAGAAUAGGGAAUCGGGUGUAAAUCCCGAACGGUUAGCGCCGCUGUAACGAGCGACGAAAGCCCCAUGUAGAGCCACUGCGUAGAGACGCGGAAAGGCGGGGCGAGUAGGACAACCUCGAAGCCAGAAGACCUGCUUUUUCACCCUCAUCCCG